AUACUUGACCAGCGCGCCAACUGUCUCUCAUUGGCACGAGAUAUGUAUGCGAACAGUUGCGGCAAGAAGGCUUUAAACCUCUUUGGGUUGCGACACAAAGCAGCUUCAGACGCUAAGUCGUGCUCCCUCAAGGGUUGGAGAAAAAAGCGCUUCUUCCUUUUCUCAGUCACUCUCUCUCUACCUUCAUUAGCUAUCCCACGCGUCGGUCGCAGGGAUAAAAGGCACCAUGGAAGCGGCGAAGGCGCACCUUUGUUACCACAGUAACAUGAUAGUGGCUUUAACAGUCAACGAUGUUCAAAUUAUCCUGCCAGAUUUGCCAAGCUUUGAAUAGAGUAAUCUUGCACGGAGAUUUUCGAGCGCGAACCCGCAGCGUGGAAAUUCUUCGGAGUGAACGGCUAGUCCCUGCAGUUGUGGCCUCAGACGCCGACCGGAUUAAACACGUGUGUGGACAGUGACCCUAAGCAGCCGAGAUCCCAUGAAGCGGUUAAAUGACUUGAAGACGCUGCCAUGCUUCGAGGCAUGUCCGCUGCGAAUGCAAGGUACCUAAGUGCUCAUGCUACCGGCGUUUCGGAAACGUUGGCUCCAAAGGCGCCCGUUCUUUGCCCGCAGUGAAAAGAUCAGCGGAGAGCGAGGACACAACGACGCGCAUAAUGAACGUGAGCGAGGCGGAGAACCUCGCCAAGGCAGGUAGCCGAGAUGCGGCCACGAGUGGACUGGAAUGCGAGGCCUAAACUUCAGCAAGCUUAGGUAGAGCGCCUGAGGAUAGACCACUGCAACCUUCAUCAUAACUUGCCGAAGUAACAGACGACCCAGCGAAAGGCAGGGCCGUACUGUAUUCGGAACUUCUGCAACGGCAGCGGACGGGGAUCGGGGCGCUGGAAGCGUCCCUUGGAACGCACGUUGCGACUUGGAUGCUGACCGCUUCUCCUGCAAGGAACAGCAUAGUCUUUCGCUGGACUCCUCCGCGGAACGCCAGUGGCGUUUCCUCUAGAAGGAUAGCGACGUCUCAUGCACAGAACGCCACCGCGUCGGUUUAGCCGUUAAAAGACCCCAGCAAGUCAAGGAGGCCAAGGAGACACGGCCGGCGCGUUCAGCAUGGAGGGACCGCCUGCUAAUGCACCACGCACGCGCGUCUGCGUCAGGGCAAUGGCUAAUUGGACCAGGAACACGAGCGCUGUCGUCGAGCCAUUUUUGCAGCGCGGCGAGUACAGCCCGCCGUGUGGGCCAGGAGGCGUCUAUCACUGCACCGUGGAAUCGAAAGGUAAUGGCGCUGCUACAGUUUGGGACAGAAGCCUGUAUCUCUAUGCGUUGUCUGCACCGCCCGAGCAGAGCGGCACCGAGGAUGGCCAACCUGUUGCCAACUUGGGUUUCUACUCGAAGCUUCCAAGGGAAGGAAGAAGCGGCCGCAAUGACCAGAUCCAAGACAGCACGCCAGCUGCUCGCAGUCAAGACAAUGGGUCCCCUGCGGAGGGUGCCCGGUUUUCUGCUUGCCCCGAGAACGAAGACGGUGUCGACUGGGACGGACUAGUCGCUCGCCUCGAUCUCAGUUUCCUUGAUGAAUAGGCAAGAAAACGUGUUUAAAAAAAAAAGCGGCCUCAAUUCGGAACAUGUAAUCCACAAUGGGGUCUGCCACAUUACUCGCAUAUAGUGGUUAUUGCCACUGACGGAGUCGCUCAGCCUUAGCCUCACAUUUACAUAAAUUAUGCGUCUGGAUACCCGUGCUUUUGUUAAAUUUAAAGCGCGCCAUUUAUGUUCGUGUGUCGAGAGUAACAAAUGCCUAUAUGGACAAAAAUAGUUUAUGUGAAACACAAGCAGAGUAUUAGCAUUUCUAUACGGGAAACAAAUUCAUCAGCCUCGUUUAUAUCCGCUACAACAAAACAGAAACUCAAAUAUAGGCUUUCUCAAAUAUUAUCAGAAAUGAGGGUUAAACAAAGGACUUCACGUGAGAUGCUAACUUCUAAAUAUAGAAAGGAAACGAGAGUAACACAGUGCCGAUCAACUUAUGAACUGGGCUCUGUAAAUGUAUUGAACGCUACAAAAAUCGCACACCGCUUGUGUCCAUACCUUGUUGUAUUCUUUCUGUAUCUAAUUUAGCACGUUUACAAAUAAUAAACCCUCCCCUGCUACGAUA